CAAUGCGAUGCUGAAGAACUAACUGCUUUUAUUUUGAAUGGAUUAGAUGAUGAUUAUGAUUUUGUUGUAUUGGCUCUAGCAGCCAAAACUGAACCUAUUACUCUGUCAGAGACAUGCACAACUUCUGAAUUUUGAGA
rnacentral:snoRNA from 1 species